AGAGUUUGAUCCUGGCUCAGAUUGAACGCUGGCGGCAGGCCUAACACAUGCAAGUCGAGCGGCAGCGGGAAAGUAGCUUGCUACUUUUGCCGGCGAGCGGCGGACGGGUGAGUAAUGCCUGGGGAUCUGCCCAGUCGAGGGGGAUAACAGUUGGAAACGACUGCUAAUACCGCAUACGCCCUACGGGGGAAAGGAGGGGACCUUCGGGCCUUUCGCGAUUGGAUGAACCCAGGUGGGAUUAGCUAGUUGGUGGGGUAAUGGCUCACCAAGGCGACGAUCCCUAGCUGGUCUGAGAGGAUGAUCAGCCACACUGGAACUGAGACACGGUCCAGACUCCUACGGGAGGCAGCAGUGGGGAAUAUUGCACAAUGGGGGAAACCCUGAUGCAGCCAUGCCGCGUGUGUGAAGAAGGCCUUCGGGUUGUAAAGCACUUUCAGCGAGGAGGAAAGGUUGGCGCCUAAUACGUGUCAACUGUGACGUUACUCGCAGAAGAAGCACCG
rnacentral:rRNA from 1 species